UACAGAGGUCUCAAGCGUUGUUCGGAUUCAUUGGGCGUAAAGGGUGCGUAGGCGGCGCGGUAAGUCGGGUGUGAAAUCUCGGGGCUUAACUCCGAAACUGCAUUCGAUACUGCCGUGCUUGAGGACUGGAGAGGAGACUGGAAUUUACGGUGUAGCGGUGAAAUGUGUAGAUAUCGUAAGGAAGACCAGUGGCGAAGGCGGGUCUCUGGACAGUUCCUGACGCUGAGGCACGAAGGCCAGGGGAGCAAACGGG
rnacentral:rRNA from 1 species